rnacentral:rRNA from 1 species
AGCGAACGCUGGCGGCAGGCCUAACACAUGCAAGUCGAACGAACCUUUCGGGGUUAGUGGCGGACGGGUGAGUAACACGUGGGAACGUGCCUUUAGGUUCGGAAUAACUCAGGGAAACUUGUGCUAAUACCGAAUGUGCCCUUCGGGGGAAAGAUUUAUCGCCUUUAGAGCGGCCCGCGUCUGAUUAGCUAGUUGGUUGAGGUAAUGGCUCACCAAGGCGACGGUCAGUAGCUGGUCUGAGAGGAUGAUCAGCCACAUUGGGACUGAGACACGGCCCAAACUCAUGCGGGAGGGAGCAGUGGGGAAUCUUGCGCAAUGGGCGAAAGCCUGACGCAGCCAUGCCGCGUGAAUGAUGGAGGUCUUAGGAUUGUAAAAUUCUUUCACCGGGGACGAUAAUGACGGUACCAGGAGAAGAAGCCCCGGCUACCUUCGU